rnacentral:rRNA from 1 species
AUAGUGGAUAUAUACUGGAAUGUUAUAUCCUCGAAAGAUCCGUCGCCCAAGGAUGAGUCUAUGUCCGAUUAGGUAGUGGGCGGGGUAACGGCCCACCAAGCCUUUGAUCGGUACGGGUUGUGGGAGCAAGAUCCCGGAGAUGGAUUCUGAGACAUGAAUCCAGGCCUACGGGGCGCAGCAGGCGCGCAAACUUUACAAUGCGAGCAAUCGUGAUAAGGAAACCCUGAGUGCCUGUCGAUGCAGGCUGUUCAUAUAUCUAAAUCAUAUGUGAAGAAAGGGCAGGGCAAGACCGGUGCCAGCCGCCGCGGUAAUACCGGCUGCUCGAGUGAUGGCCACUAUUACUGGGUUUAAAGCGUCCGUAGCUUGAUUGUUAGGUCUCUUGGGAAAUCUUCACGCUCAACGUGAAGGCGUCCAAGAGAUACCGGCAAUCUUGGAACUGGGAGAGGUAAACCGUACUUCGGGGGUAGGAGUGAAAUCUUGUAAUCCUCGAGGGACGACCUAUGGCGAAGGCGGUUUACCAGAACAGCUUCGACAGUGAGGGACGAAAGCUGGGGGAGCAAACGGGAUUAGAUACCCCGGUAGUCCCAGCCGUAAACAAUGUGCGUUAGGUAUGUCGGUAACCACGUGUUACUGAUGUGCCGAAGAGAAAUCGUGAAACGCACCACCUGGGAAGUACGGUCGCAAGGCUGAAACUUAAAGGAAUUGGCGGGGGAGCACCACAACAGGUGGAGCCUGCGGUUUAAUUGGAUUCAACGCCGGGA